ACCUCUGUUACACUGAACACGUAUCCUAGAUCUAGAGGAACUUGAUUUACAAGCAGCAGAAUGUUCUGUAGGUGUGAUGAUUGGGGUGAUGUGUGUUCCAGAUUCCACUGCCAACAAGGAACACAACUGCUCUACACAUUGCAUUGGUGUCAACCAUACUUUAAUUCAGUCUAAUCCAGCUGAACCCAGUUAUACCUGUUACUCCUCCAUCUCAUCCCACCAACUCUGUCAGUCCACCAGGCCACUGCAGUAACAGCCACAUCUUCACGUCACAAAGCUUCAGUACUAUCUGAAUGUGUUGAAGUACCAUCCAGGAUCCUGUGGCAACGUCAAUGUGAAACAGCAUUGACCCCUGAUCACCACCAACCAGGGAUCCACAGUGGUUGCCUUGGACACCCAGUGAAACAGCAUUGAUCCGUGAUCACCACCAACCAGGGUUCCACAGUGGUUGCCUUGGACACCCAGUGAAACAGCAUUGAGCCCUGAUCACCACCAACCAGGGCUCCACAGUGGUUGCCUUGGACACCCAGUGAAACCAGAGAGAGCACACCAGGCAGCAGGGAGCACUUUGAUGUGAUUGGCUGUUCAGCAGGAAGAUUAAUCUGGCUACACAGAAGGGAUGAUGGCUCUGACCAAUACAUUUUUGUUAUGAUAAUCUUCUAU